GAAGGUCUUGCUUUUCAUCAAGUGAACCCACUGAUGACACCCUGCAGCAUGGAAACUGCAGUACAUGAUAAUACUCAGUAUAUCAUGAAACUCAAAACAGGCAAGCUGGACCUGCUGGAUGCAAGGAGUGUUUUCUCGUGCGUUCUGGAGAGUCUCCACCCCCAGGCCACCUGCUGUCCCCCAGAGGCUACACCUUCUCCAGCUGGACACUAGGAGAACCACGGCAGGCCUACAGGAACUCUGAGAGUGCAAACCAUGCCAAACGCAGCCAUCUCCAGGGGCUAGCCACCAACAUGGAGUCAAAUCCCAGUCCACGUGUCCCUCAAACUCCAGAAGACAUGUCACACUUUCCGAAACGGUCCUCUUGAAGUGCUCCCUUAUUUGGCAUGAGCUGAAGAUGAGACACCCACCCCCUCCUGCCUGGGAAGAAGGGCAGUGUCCAGCACACAGACAGUUGCUCCAAAGCAAUCCUCUCACAUUCCGCCA
ensembl:lincRNA